GGCUCAGCCAGCAGAAGCCCAGCACGAAGAGCGCCACGACGCCCGACACGAUGAGGAACAAGCCGAGCCGGAUGCUCUUGUCCUCCGCCUCCGUGUACUCGUACGGCGCCCCGCGCGGCUUGGCCAUCCCGCCCGCCAGACCAUUAUGGAGAGACAAAACAAUUACCAUCCAGUUAAGAUGCUGAAGUGCAGGUUCCUAUUCAGUAUACUGGACAAGAUACAGAAGCAGAUAAAUAUGGACUGGCUGCCACUGUAAUCAGAAGUGAUGCAUUCUCAGCCGCUGCCUUAUUGCUGGGAUGCUCCAUGUCAAGCCUUUAAAACAUUUGGAAGAGAGCUGAAAGAAAGUGCUCAAUGAACAUAUUAAUCCAAGCAUGCAUCCUAUUAAAGAAAACAUAAAUAACCAAAUUUGUGAACUUUGGAUGAACCAACUAUUUCCAACCUACACAAGAAAUGGUCAUGUAUGUUAAAGAGGAAAAACACUCACCUGUUUUUAGACAAGUUUCUCCUAUUAAUCUGACAGAUUGCUUCUCAUGUAAAGACUUGUCUGUAGAAUGCCAAGUGUUCCUUAUUUACAAUAAAUAGCCUUCCACCACCAGCAACCUACCACUUUACACAGCUAAUUGGAAUGAGCCAUCCCAAGCAACCCAUUUUAUUUUGUAUUGUUUCCCAUAAGGCAUGUUACUGACAAGUGAGUGACGAUUCCUGUAGUAUUUAUCAGGAUGCGUGUUUAGGCACCUUGCGUUAUUCUUCUUAUAACUGCCAAUGCAACAUUUUGUAUAAACCACACAAUAGGGCUCUUAGUGAUCUAGAUUAUGGGUGGCACUCAAGAGAAUCUGACUUUGACAUCAAGAAAUAAGAGGUCAUAGAUGGAUAGGCAUGAAAAUUCAGGACAGGAAGAGGCCUCAGUCUUCAUCCAAACAAGUGCAUAGAAAAUGGGAAGUGUGGGAAGGGAAAAAGAGCAAAAAAGCACAAGCAAGUAAUAAUAUGUUAAGGGCUGUGCGUGUCUUAAGGUGAGGGACAGGUUUAUUAAUGUUUUUGUUUUGUUCUAACUUAACAUUGUGCAUUUAUAAAACAAAUGAAUAUGAAAUUAAUACUCCUUAACAGUGGUUUUUUUCUGAGGCCGUAAAAGAAUAUCUUAAAUUCUGGAUUGGAUGAAUUCUUGAAAUAUUUGAUUACACUGCAUUUAGUGGUGUGGGUGUAUGUUUAGUGAACCAAAAGGUUAUUGGGAAUGCAAUGCAUUAGCAAUUUGGUUUCCUUUUAUAAACGCGAAAAAUAUUUCAUGACAAUAUUAAGGAAAAAAGUGAACUGGAACAAAAGCAAGUAACCAUUUUCCUCAGAGACACCAGCAAAGGUGCUCUCAGAAAAUGAUGUUUUCCAUUAAAUUCUUGACCACAGCAAUGUAUAGGCAUAUGAACGAUAAAGUGUGCUAUUGGCGAUUUGCAAUUACUCUGAGCAGCACAGGCUAUUUCUCAACACGUACAGCAAUGGGUUUUUCAACAUUUGUUUUCUGACAUCUCUACACAAACAAAAAAUGGCAUGUUUAUGUUCAAUGCAGUGCAGCAUGUUAAUACUGGCAGGAAUAACCUAUACAGUAUCAAUUAAGUAGACUCAGUUGUAUCAACUAUCAAACAUGUUCAUUUUGUAGAGAUUUUGGUUUAUCUAAUUUGGAGUACUGUACUUAAAAAAGAAAACGUUCCCUCUCCCCCACUACCAAUAUUUAUUCAAAUGUAUUACAUUCAAGAAAAACAUCUAAUACACAUACCUGAAAAGUUAGAAUCUAAUUCCAAUAGUAAGUUGCUUUUUCCCCAC